UACGAAGGGGGCUAGCGUUGCUCGGAAUCACUGGGCGUAAAGCGCACGUAGGCGGAUUGUUAAGUCAGGGGUGAAAUCCUGGAGCUCAACUCCAGAACUGCCUUUGAUACUGGCGAUCUCGAGUCCGGGAGAGGUGAGUGGAACUCCGAGUGUAGAGGUGAAAUUCGUAGAUAUUCGGAAGAACACCAGUGGCGAAGGCGGCUCACUGGCCCGGUACUGACGCUGGAGGUGACGAAAGCGGUGGGGAGCAAACAGG
rnacentral:rRNA from 1 species